UCCUCCCUCUUUCUUCGUGCUUAACACAUGCAAGUCGAACGGAAAGGCCCUGCUUUUGUGGGGUGCUCGAGUGGCGAACGGGUGAGUAACACGUGAGUAACCUGCCCUUGACUUUGGGAUAACUUCAGGAAACUGGGGCUAAUACCGGAUAGGAGCUCCUGCUGCAUGGUGGGGGUUGGAAAGUUUCGGCGGUUGGGGAUGGACUCGCGGCUUAUCAGCUUGUUGGUGGGGUAGUGGCUUACCAAGGCUUUGACGGGUAGCCGGCCUGAGAGGGUGACCGGCCACAUUGGGACUGAGAUACGGCCCAGACUCCUACGGGAGGUAGCAGUGGGGAAUAUUGCACAAUGGGCGGAAGCCUGAUGCAGCAACGCCGCGUGCGGGAUGACGGCCUUCGGGUUGUAAACCGCUUUCGCCUGUGACGAAGCGUGAGUGACGGUAAUGGGUAAAGAAGCACCGGCUAACUACGUG
rnacentral:rRNA from 1 species